UACGUAGGGUGCAAGCGUUAAUCGGAAUUACUGGGCGUAAAGCGUGCGCAGGCGGUGAUGUAAGACAGUUGUGAAAUCCCCGGGCUCAACCUGGGAACUGCAUCUGUGACUGCAUCGCUGGAGUGCGGCAGAGGGGGAUGGAAUUCCGCGUGUAGCAGUGAAAUGCGUAGAUAUGCGGAGGAACACCGAUGGCGAAGGCAAUCCCCUGGGCCUGCACUGACGCUCAUGCACGAAGCGUGG
rnacentral:rRNA from 1 species